rnacentral:rRNA from 1 species
GACGAACGCUGGCGGCGUGCUUACACAUGCAAGUCGAACGAAGAGGCCCUGCUUUGGUGGGGUGCACUAGUGGCGAACGGGUGAGUAACACGUGAGUAACCUGCCCUUGACUCUGGGAUAACUUCUGGAAACCGGGUCUAAUACCGGAUAGGAGCUCCCGCUGCAUGGUGGGUGUUGGAAAGAUUCUCCGGCUGGGAAGGAAUCCCCGCCCUUCCACUUGGUGGUGAGGUAAUGGCUCUCCCAGGCCACUACAGGUAACCCGCCUGAAAAGGUGACCGGCCACACUGGGACUGAAACACGGCCCACACUCCUACGGGAGAGCAGCAGUGGGGAAUAUUGCACAAUGGGCGCAAGCCUGAUGCACCGACGCCGCGUGAGGGAUGACAGCCUUCCGGUUGUAAACCUCUUUUCCUACGGAAAAAACGAAAGUGACGGUACCUGCAGAAGAAACACCGCCUAACUACAUGUCACCACCCGCGGUAAUACAUAUGGUGCGAGCGUUAUCCGGAAUUAUUGGGCGUAAAGAGCUCGUAGGCGGUUUGUCGCGUCUGCCGUGAAAGUCCGGGGCUUAACUCCGGAUCUGCGGUGGGUACGGGCAGACUAGAGUGCAGUAGGGGAGACUGGAAUUCCUGGUGUAGCGGUGGAAUGCGCAGAUAUCAGGAGGAACACCGAUGGCGAAGGCAGGUCUCUGGGCUGUAACUGACGCUGAGGAGCGAAAGCAUGGGGAGCGAACAGGAUUAGAUACCCUGGUAGUCCAUGCCGUAAACGUUGGGCACUAGGUGUGGGGGCCAUUCCACGGUUUCCGCGCCGCAGCUAACGCAUUAAGUGCCCCGCCUGGGGAGUACGGCCGCAAGGCUAAAACUCAAAGGAAUUGACGGGGGCCCGCACAAGCGGCGGAGCAUGCGGAUUAAUUCGAUGCAACGCGAAGAACCUUACCAAGGCUUGACAUGUUCUCGUUCGCCGUAGAGAUACGGUUUCCCCUUUGGGGCGGGUUCACAGGUGGUGCAUGGUUGUCGUCAGCUCGUGUCGUGAGAUGUUGGGUUAAGUCCCGCAACGAGCGCAACCCCUGUUCUAUGUUGCCAGCACGUGAUGGUGGGGACUCAUGGGAGACUGCCGGGGUCAACUCGGAGGAAGGUGGGGACGACGUCAAAUCAUCAUGCCCCUUAUGUCUUGGGCUUCACGCAUGCUACAAUGGCCGGUACAAUGGGUUGCGAUACUGUGAGGUGGAGCUAAUCCCAAAAAGCCGGUCUCAGUUCGGAUUGGGGUCUGCAACUCGACCCCAUGAAGUUGGAGUCGCUAGUAAUCGCAGAUCAGCAACGCUGCGGUGAAUACGUUCCCGGGCCU